UACGUAGGCAGCGAGCGUUGUUCGGAGUUACUGGGCGUAAAGCGUGCGCAGGCGGUUAUGCAAGACAGAUGUGAAAUCCCCGGGCUUAACCUGGGAACCGCAUUUGUGACUGCAUAGCUGGAGUACGGCAGAGGGGGAUGGAAUUCCGCGUGUAGCAGUGAAAUGCGUAGAUAUGCGGAGGAACACCGAUGGCGAAGGCAGUCCCCUGGGCCUGUAACUGACGCUC
rnacentral:rRNA from 1 species